rnacentral:rRNA from 1 species
UACGUAGGGGGCAAGCGUUAUCCGGAAUUACUGGGUGUAAAGGGAGCGUAGACGGUAAUGUAAGUCUGGAGUGAAAGGCGGGGGCCCAACCCCCGGACUGCUCUGGAAACUAUGUUACUGGAGUGCAGGAGAGGUAAGCGGAAUUCCUAGUGUAGCGGUGAAAUGCGUAGAUAUCAGGAGGAACACCGGCGGCGAAGGCGGCCUGCUGGACCGUGACUGACGUUGAGGCUCGAAAGCGUGGGGAGCAAACAGG